rnacentral:rRNA from 1 species
AUUGAACGCUGGCGGCAUGCUUUACACAUGCAAGUCGAACGGUAACAGGCCGCAAGGUGCUGACGAGUGGCGAACGGGUGAGUAAUGCAUCGGAACGUGCCCAGUCGUGGGGGAUAACUACUCGAAAGAGUAGCUAAUACCGCAUACGAUCUAUGGAUGAAAGCGGGGGACCGUAAUGCCUCGCGCGAUUGGAGCGGCCGGUGUCAGAUUAGGUAGUUGGUGGGGUAAAGGCUCACCAAGCCGACGAUCUGUAGCUGGUGUGAGAGGACGACGAGCCACACGGGGACUGAGACACGGACCAGACGCCUACGGGAGGCAGCAGUGGGGAAUGUUGGACAAAGGGCGCAAGCCUGAUCCAGCAAUGCCGCGUGUAGGAAGAAGGCCUUCGGGUUGUAAACUGCUUUUGUACGGAACGAAACGGCUCUGGUUAAUACCCGGGGCUAAUGACGGUACCGGAAGAAUAAGCACCGGCUAACUACGUG